CAACCUUACUUGAACACAAUCUGUUCUAUAGGCUCG
rnacentral:sRNA from 1 species